rnacentral:rRNA from 1 species
GAUGAACGCUGGCGGCGUGCCUAAUACAUGCAAGUCGAGCGAACAGACGAGGAGCUUGCUCCUCUGACGUUAGCGGCGGACGGGUGAGUAACACGUGGAUAACCUACCUAUAAGACUGGGAUAACUUCGGGAAACCGGAGCUAAUACCGGAUAAUAUAUUGAACCGCAUGGUUCAAUAGUGAAAGACGGUUUUGCUGUCACUUAUAGAUGGAUCCGCGCCGCAUUAGCUAGUUGGUAAGGUAACGGCUUACCAAGGCGACGAUGCGUAGCCGACCUGAGAGGGUGAUCGGCCACACUGGAACUGAGACACGGUCCAGACUCCUACGGGAGGCAGCAGUAGGGAAUCUGCCGCAAUGGGCGAAAGCCUGACGGAGCAACGCCGCGUGAGUGAUGAAGGUCUUCGGAUCGUAAAACUCUGUUAUUAGGGAAGAACAAAUGUGUAAGUAACGAUGCACGUCUUGACGGUACCUAAUCAGAAAGCCACGGCUAACUACGU